CCUCUUCACCUGGAGAAGCUGCAAUGAGAAGUCUGUGACUCUCACCCGCCCAUGCCGGCACCAUGAUCUCGGACUUCCAGCCUCCAGAACUAUCCAGCUACCGAUUUACGGGAAAUGCAGAAGACAGAGGAAGUAUGUUAAAUGACACCAACAAGAUCCAGACUGUGGAACCCUCUACACGAUAAAGGACCUGGCUUCAUUAACAGAUACAUCGCAAGAGUCAAAAAGUUUCUGUCUUGGACUGCUCACUCUGGAAGAAGCCAGCUGCCAUGUUGUCAGGACACACAAGCAGCCCUAUCAGAGGUCCAUGUGGUACGGAACCGAGGCCUCCUGCCAACAGCCAUGAGAGGAGCCAUCUUGGAUGUGGACCCCCAGCUCCAGUCAAGCCUUCAGAUGACAGCAGCCCCGUUCAACAUCUUGAGACCUUGAGCCAGAACAACCCAGCUCAGGUGCUUCCCUUGAUGGGACCAAUAGCCCAGCAGCAGAUGCAGAAGAACUCUCCUCUGAACUUCCCUUAUCUGCCUGGCACAGAGCAUGGAGAAUCAGCAGCCACCACCCCACCUCCACCCUCCAGCUGCUCUCCAGUCAGGGAGGCACCGACCUUGGGCACCAGGACAUUCCCAAAGAAAUUGUGUAAACAAGCCUCAUCAGAGCCUUCCAUCCUUUGAAGCCCUCCCCCUCCCCCUUCCCCGCCUGCUUUUGUUAAGUUGGUAUAUGAACCUUUGCCUCUGGUUACUCAGUGAGUUACUCAUUACACAGUGCUCCUGCA